UGUUGUAUCAUAGUGAACCUGAAAUCCACUGAUACUAUUGGGAACAACCAAUAUGAGAGUAGUAAAGAAAUGAUGCUUGAGCUCAAGAAAAAUUUCUUCACAUUUUAGGCUCCAAAGAAAUUUAGAAACUAUCGAAAAGGUUGUUAUCAUUCGUAGGAACUUGGCCACCACCUAGACUCACUGGAAAAGUUAUGUAGAUAACUAU
rnacentral:lncRNA from 1 species